AAGUUGGGUUAGCACUUUGCUAUUGAAAGUUAGAAUGAAUCCUAGUCAAGUUCAAGUUGGAUUAAAAUCUGGACUUGUCAUAGAUAGAAUUUGUCUUUAGAAUGGAUGGAUGUUAGCUCAUCCACUCUAAGCAUGGUCCCCAAAAUCUUUCGCACCUUUCAAAGGAAAUAUUUAUUAUAUAAUUCAGCUGGUAAAUUAGGGAUUCUGACCCACACCCAACCUUCUGCACUUCCAAUUCUUGGAAAAUGAAGAGAGAACGCCAUCUUUAAACGAGUAAGUAAUGAUCUGCAAUCAUCCAGAGUCUUUCAAAAAGGACAUAUUUAUAGUCAUCUUGACUGUUAAAUCUGACUAGAAAAAACUCUUCUUCUAAAUCCAUCGUUUGAAUAGAGCUUUUUUUGGUCCAUCUUCAUUGUACCCUCUAUCCAAAAUUUGAAGAUUCAAAUUUUUGCCAAAAAAUUUCACAAUCAAAGAUAAUUUCUAUGACCUACACCAUUCCUCGUACUCCUCCAGACACCUCAAUUUUUGGUCUAGGAUUGAAAAAAACUUGUUGGUCAAACAUAUCAUCUAUAAAUUCUUCUUCAGAGAGGAUUUUUGGAGAUGUAAAGAUUGUUUUACACACUCUUGAUCGCCACCAUUCUGAUCAUUGCUUGAGUCGAUUGCUAUUCCCAGAUUGAGCAGAAUCAGGCCCCUACUCCUCAAUGCCAUCCAUCUGAUCUACCUCUGGAUUAGUUUCUAACAGGGCUCCUCCUUGAAACGCCACAUUUAUUUUGACCUUCUUUGUGCUUCGGUUGAUUUGAUCUUUUUUUUCCGGUGAUCUUUUGUCUUUUUCAGUUGAUUGAUGUUCGGCGGACUCAGAAAAGUAUCAAAUGCUAAAUUAAAAAUACGACUUAAUAAAUAAUAAUUUAACUGGUGGCUUUCAAGUCUUCGGUUUGCCUGUUUUCACCUUA